UAUCAUCUCGAUUGAUGAGGGUGUGUGGGACGUCAUCAUCAAUGGUCCUAAUCAAAUUACAAUGACCAAUGGUGAAGGUGUCAUCGUACCAAAAUUGGAAUAUCGAUGAAAUAAUAAUGAUAAGAAAUUGUGGUCACAUGAUUUGGAAGGCACAAAAUAUUCUCAUAUCCUCACUUAGUGUUAAUGAAUAUUAUCGUGUUUCCCAUUAUAAAAUCGCCAAAGCUAUAUGGGAC
rnacentral:lncRNA from 1 species